rnacentral:lncRNA from 1 species
CAGCCUCAACCUCCCAGGCUCAAGUGAUUCUCCUGCCUCAGCCUCCGGAGUAGCUGGGACUACCAGUGCACCCCAAUGCACCCAGCUAAUUAAAAAACAUUUUAAUUUUUUUUUUAGAGUUGGAGGUCUUGCUAUGUUGCCCAAGCUGGUCUCGAACUCCUGGGCUCAAGUAAUCCUCCCACUUUGGUUCCUCAAAGGGCUGGGAUUACAGAUGUGAGCCACUGCGCCUGACGAGUCGGGGCCUUAAAGCAGAGAUUUUCCGGCUGGAGUCAAAACAUCAAAGAUCUGACUUCUGAGAACUCUUACAGACCUUCAGGCAUCCAUCAUAUUUGGCUCUCUGAGCAGUAUUGGACCCUUCAUGAUGACCUUCUCCAUCUGGAUGGGACAGAACAAAGUGGAUUCGCUUGAGCUAGGGCAGGGCAGGAAACGCCACCAGCUCUCUCUGGGAACACAGCAAGCAGGGAACUUCUGGCGGAGAGUGAACGGUGCCACCCCAGGAGCAGAACCAACACUUCCGUCCGCAGGGACUGGGAGGGACCCUUCCCAUCUUCAGAGAUCUCCUGAUCCCCCUGAGACCCCCGGGUUCCAGGAGGAGCAUGUUUCAUGAGGACAGUCCUUCUCAAGACAGGGUGACUGGUUGCUCCCCUCCCACUGAGGGUGUCACAGCUGGUCCCUCUGUUUCCCUUGGCUGAGAGGGGAAAUAGCCAACAUCUGUCGUUUGCAUAAUGUGUGUGCUUUUGCCACUUAGAAUUCUCUGUUUCUAUAAACAAAUGCUUUUACAAUAAAACUGAAAUGCCAGAAAAAGAGACAACCUACUUUAAGGUCACCACUGCCUCCCAGCAAGGACGUUUAAAAAUAACCCCCGAUCUGCCCUGUGCUCACAACUCUCAUUGCGCCAGCUCAAUGGCAGGCCCAGUGCCACCAGGACAGCUAUGUGGAAGGUUCCGGGUGGGGCACGGGUGUGUGUUAUGGAGGAGGUGAGGGAGGCUGUUCUCAUAACAAUGCUGGCAUCUGGUCUGUGGGUCCACCCUGCCGAUGUCUGUGAAAGGGCAUGUGGUUGGCCCCUGUUAGACCAGUUCUGAUGCCAGUUUCCAGCUAAAGUGAAACUGCUCCAGACCUGAGUGGGAAGUGCACUGUGAGAAGUCAGGUUCACCUGGAGGGUAUGGAUGCCAGGGUGUGGCAUUGGGUGGACAUCAAGCACAUCCCUCAGGGAGUCCUGGGGCUAUUACCUCUAGAAGCUGCUCCAGCAACUCUGCCAGACAGGAUCAUAAACUUUUGCAGCUAAAUCUUGGGGAUGAACUUUUUCAGUAAUUGUCAAGCUGUGCCCCACAGAUUGCUGGUGAUUCUGGGGCAGUGAUAUGGUUUGGCUCUGUGUCCCCACCUGAAUCUCAUGUUGAAUUGUAAUUCCCAAUGUUGUGGGUGGCAGCGGGGGAACCUGGUGGGAGGUCAUGAAUCGUGGGGGCAGUUUUCCACCUUGCUGUUCUCGUGAUGGUGAGUGAGUUAUCACAAGAUCUGAUGGUUUAAAAGUGUGUAGCAUUUCCCCUUCUGCUCUCUUUCUCUCCUGCCACCACGUGAAUACGUGCUUGCUUCCCCUUUGGAUUCCACCAUGAUUACCCUUGCCUAGCUGCGAUAACAAGCCCAGGACAACCUGCUGGGUGAAAUACUUGGGACACAGUUAUAUCGCAGUGCCCCAGCCAGCAGCGAAGCAACCACUGUCAUGCAAGUGAGCUCAUCCUAGACCAACUGGCCUGCCCCAUCCCACCUGCCUGCCAACCAAAGAAGCUUGAGGGAGCCCAGCCAAGGUCAGCAAAGCUUGGCCCAGAUCAGCAGAACUGCCAGCUGACUUGCAGACUCAUGAAUAAGAAUAAAUGUUUAUGUUUUUUAAGCCUCUGAGUUUUGGGGUUGCUUGUUAUGCAGCAAUAGUGAGCUGUUACAGUUAUCUACACAGACCCACUGAAGCACGACUGCCAUGGCUGGGCCCCUCUUGCCCGACCUAAGAGGAUGAUUGCACUGGACUGUCCUGUAGAAACGCAGAUAAACAUGAUUCUUGUUCUGAAGAGCUAGACUGCGGGAGCUUUCCAAGUCUGGGAAAUCACAUCUGCUACACUCGCAGGACUAUAAACCUGAGCUGUUUGCAUCUAUAUUGGUAGCAGGCAAGUUCUGCUCAGGCCCUGCCCAGCCAACUUCAGCACAGUGAUAUUUAUCAGGGCCAGGCAGAAGGGUUCUCAGAAAGCCACCACCCUGGAGUCAGAUGUUCCAUAAGACCUCAGAGAGGACUGCCUACACGCAUCUAGGUUGGAAGCGGCAGUCGUGCGAGGCAUGGGAUGUUUUCUGAAGGGACUCAAGAAACACUUUUGAUCUCAGGGAAGGUGGUGGAUAAAGGAAAUUACAUUAACUGUUUGACUUGAGUGUGUGGUGGCCAAGUAGGCUCAUGUCAUUAAAGCCAUCCUUCAGUGGGUGCCUUGUUUAUUGAUAU